UGGCUCAGUGGUCAAGAGCACUGGCUGCUCUUCCAGAGGACCUGGGUUCAAUUCCCAG
rfam:Neotoma lepida isolate 417 scaffold_107, whole genome shotgun sequence.